rnacentral:sRNA from 1 species
CUACUGGCCAGCCCUGCAAAACGUUUACACCAACGUCACUGAAGGGCUGAAGGAAGCCAAUGACAUCGUGCUCUAUUUGAAGCCUCUACAGAUCCUGCUGGAGGAGAUGGAACAAGCUGACUUCACGAUGCUCCCCACCUUCAUUGCCAAGGUGCUGGACACCAUCUGCUUCAUCUGGGCCACCUCUGAGUACUAUAACACACCUGCCAGGAUCAUCGUCAUCCUGCAGGAGUUCUGCAACCAAAUCAUCGAGAUGACGCGAACCUUCCUGAGCCCAGAAGAGGUGCUGAAGGGCCUGCAAGGCGAAAUCGAGGAAGUCCUGAGCAGCAUCUCCCUGGCUGUGAACGUGCUGAAGGAGCUCUACCAGACGUAUGACUUCUGCUGUGUAAACAUGAAGCUUUUCUUUAAGGACAAAGAGCCCGUGCCUUGGGAAUUCCCUUCUUCUCUUGCCUUUUCCAGGAUGAAUUCCUUCUUCCGCCGCAUCCAGACCAUUGAGGAACUCUAUAAAACGGCGAUUGAGUUUCUGAAGCUGGAGAAAAUCGAGCUUGGGGGCGUGCGUGGGAACCUCCUCGGGAGCCUGGUGACCCGUAUCUAUGAUGAGGUCUUUGAGCUGGUGAAGGUUUUUGCUGACUGCAAAUAUGAUCCCUUGGACCCUGGAGACUCGAAUUUUGACCGUGAUUAUGCUGAUUUUGAGAUCAAAAUCCAAGACCUGGAUAGGAGGCUGGCCACGAUCUUUUGCCAAGGAUUUGAUGACUGCAGCUGUAUCGAGUCCUCUGCAAAGCUCCUGUACAUGUGUGGGGGCCUCAUGGAGCGGCCCCUGAUUCUUGCCGAGGUGGCGCCCAGGUAUUCAGUCAUGCUGGAGCUGUUUGAUGCUGAGCUAGACAAUGCUAAGAUCUUGUAUGAUGCCCAGAUGGCGGCCUCCGAGGAGGGGAACAUCCCCCUGAUCCACAAAAACAUGCCUCCCGUGGCCGGGCAGCUCGAGUGGGGCCUGGAGAUGCAGGAGAGGCUGGAGGUGUCCAUGAAACACCUGAAGCACAUCGAACACCCGGUCAUGUCUGGAGCGGAGGCCAAGCUGAUUUAUCAGAAGUAUGACGAGAUGAUGGAGCUGCUGAGGUGCCACCGCGAGAAGAUCUACCAGCAGUGGGUGGCGGGCGUGGACCAGGACUGCCAUUUUAACCUGGGGCAGCCGCUGAUUCUGCGGGACGCCACCAGCAACCUCAUCCAUGUCAACUUCAGCAAAGCGUUGGUGGCAGUUCUGAGAGAAGUCAAGUAUUUGAAUUUCCAGCAACAGAAAGAGAUUCCAGACAGUGCAGAGAGUCUGUUCUCAGAGAACGAAACUUUCCGGAAGUUUGUGGGCAACCUGGAGCUCAUCGUUGGCUGGUAUAAUGAGAUAAAGACUUCAGUGAAGGCAGUAGAAUUUCUACUAAUAAAGUCAGAACUGGAAGCAAUCGAUGUCAAGUUACUGAGCGCUGAAACAACAUUAUUCUGGAAUGGCGAAGGUGUGUUUCAGUACAUUCAAGAGGUGCGAGAAAUUCUGCACAACUUGCAGAACAGGAUGCAAAAGGCAAAACAAAAUAUAGAAGGAAUUUCCCAGGCUAUGAAGGACUGGUCGGCCAACCCGCUGUUUGAAAGAAAGGACAAUAAGAAAGAGGCCCUGUUAGACUUGGAUGGAAGAAUUGCCAACCUCAACAAGCGCUACACAGCGGUCCGGGAUGCUGGCGUGAAGAUCCAAGCCAUGGUUGCAGUAAGGAAACAUCCAGGAGGUUUUUUGAGAACCCACCUGCUUUUAGCAGGGAGGAGAGAGUAAAGGCAGAAGUGGAGAUUUCAUAAAAAUGAUUAGUGACAC